GAUGUUGGGUUAAGUACCGNAACGAGCGCAACCCUUUUCCUUAUUUGCCAGCGGGUCAUGCCGGGAACUUUAAGGAUACUGCCAGUGACAAACUGGAGGAAGGCGGGGACGACGUCAAGUCAUCAUGGCCCUUACGGCCAGGGCUACACACGUGCUACAAUGGUCGGUACAAAGGGUUGCUACCUCGCGAGAGGAUGCUAAUCUCAAAAAGCCGAUCGUAGUCCGGAUCGCAGUCUGCAACUCGACUGCGUGAAGUCGGAAUCGCUAGUAAUCGCGGAUCAGAAUGCCGCGGUGAAUACGUUCCCGGGCCUUGUACACACCGCCCGUCACACCAUGGGAGUUUGUUGCACCAGAAGUAGGUAGUCUAACCGCAAGGAGGACGCUUACCACGGUGUGGCCGAUGACUGGGGUGAAGUCGUAACAAGGUAAGCGUAGAUGA
rnacentral:rRNA from 1 species